rnacentral:rRNA from 1 species
UACGUAGGGUGCAAGCGUUGUCCGGAAUUAUUGGGCGUAAAGAGCUCGUAGGCGGUCUGUCGCGUCGGAAGUGAAAACCUGGGGCUUAACCCCGGGCCUGCUUUCGAUACGGGCAGACUAGAGUUCGGCAGGGGAGACUGGAAUUCCUGGUGUAGCGGUGAAAUGCGCAGAUAUCAGGAGGAACACCGGUGGCGAAGGCGGGUCUCUGGGCCGAUACUGACGCUGAGGAGCGAAAGCGUGGGGAGCGAACAGG